GUUAAACCCCUCACGGUUACAGCGUAAUUGCAAACCAGAACCCCGUACCAAAGACAGCCAUUUCGAUCGUCCAAUGCUGGUAACACGAUAACUGCCAUCUGCAAUUACGUCGUACAAUGAAGAUGCUUGAUAUGAGAUUGAUAUAAAAUUUAGGUCAUUGUUUACUUUCAUUCCUAAACAUAUUUCUUUGAACGGUGUGUUCCAGUAUGUUGCUUGUUUUGUUUCCACGUCAUCGAAUCCCGUCAUGCCUCCUCCUGGAUUGUAUGUUGCCUUGUUGCUCCAGUAACUGGAACCAUAAUGAAAUGUUUCCUACAAAAUAGCAUCUAUAUUUACAGCUCGAAAACAAUCUGUGAAUCUCUUUAGAACAGCAACAACACCAA
rnacentral:lncRNA from 1 species